AGCGCCGGGGCCCGAGCGUCGGGGCGGCCGCGGAGUCGCGCAGGCUUGGGCUUGGGCUCCCCGAGCGCUACCGUUUCUUCCGCCAGUCGGUGGCCGGGCUGGCGGCGCGG
rnacentral:miRNA from 1 species